rnacentral:rRNA from 1 species
AACGAACGCUGGCGGCAGGCUUAACACAUGCAAGUCGAACGCCCCGCACGGGGUGUGGCGGACGGGUGAGUAACGCGUGGGAACAUACCCUUUUCUAAGGAAUAGCUCUGGGAAACUGGACUUAAUACCGUAUACGCCAUACGGGGGAAAGAUUUAUCGGGGAAGGAUUGGCCCGCGUUGGAUUAGCUAGUUGGGGGGGUAAAGGCCUACCAAGGCGACGAUCCAUAGCUGGUCUGAGAGGAUGAUCAGCCACAUUGGGACUGAGACACGGCCCAAACUCCUACGGGAGGCAGCAGUGGGGAAUAUUGGACAAUGGGCGCAAGCCUGAUCCAGCCAUGCCGCGUGAGUGAUGAAGGCCUUAGGGUUGUAAAGCUCUUUCACCGAUGAAGAUAAUGACGGUAGUCGGAGAAGAAGCCCCGGCUAACUUCGUG